rnacentral:piRNA from 1 species
UAAAGAUUGACUCGAGACAGUAU